rnacentral:rRNA from 1 species
UACGUAGGGGGCUAGCGUUGUCCGGAUUUAUUGGGCGUAAAGCGCGCGCAGGCGGUCCUUUAAGUCUGAUGUGAAAGCCCACGGCUCAACCGUGGAGGGUCAUUGGAAACUGGGGGACUUGAGUACAGAAGAGAAGAGUGGAAUUCCACGUGUAGCGGUGAAAUGCGUAGAGAUGUGGAGGAACACCAGUGGCGAAGGCGACUCUUUGGUCUGUAACUGACGCUGAGGCGCGAAAGCGUGGGGAGCAAACAGG